rnacentral:rRNA from 1 species
UACGAGGGGGGCGAGCGUUGUUCGGAAUUAUUGGGCGUAAAGGGUGCGUAGGCGGUUUGGUAAGUCUGAUGUGAAAUCUAUGGGCUCAACUCAUAGUCUGCAUCGGAAACUGCCGGGCUUGAGUAUGGGAGAGGUGAGUGGAAUUCCUGGUGUAGCGGUGAAAUGCGUAGAUAUCAGGAGGAACACCUGUGGCGAAAGCGGCUCACUGGACCAUAACUGACGCUGAUGCACGAAAGCGUGGGGAGCGAACAGG